UACGAGGGGGGCGAGCGUUGUUCGGAAUUAUUGGGCGUAAAGAGCUCGUAGGCGGUUUGUCGCGUCUGCUGUGAAAACCCGAGGCUCAACCUCGGGCCUUGCAGUGGGUACGGGCAGACUAGAGUGCGGUAGGGGAGAUUGGAAUUCCUGGUGUAGCGGUGGAAUGCGCAGAUAUCAGGAGGAACACCAAUGGCGAAGGCAGAUCUCUGGGCCGUAACUGACGCUGAGGAGCGAAAGCAUGGGGAGCGAACAGG
rnacentral:rRNA from 1 species